rnacentral:lncRNA from 1 species
CCCAGCGGAACGCUGUUUUCUUGUAGGAUGAGGUGCAUGACAGCAGGGUGGUUGCAGUCCUAAGAGGUCAAACGCCCUUUUUCUGAGUCUGAGCAGCUCGGAAAGCGAUGGAGACGAGGGGAAGAAGCUGGCAUAGAGCUGCUUGUGGUGCUGGGAGUGCUCCAGAGGCUGGCGUGUGGGCUGCUGAGGCAGAGGACAGCAGCCCCGGAAGACAAGGGUUACUCUUUCUCUGCCUGGUAGGGGAGGGAUGAAAGGAGAAUUUACACCAGUCCUGUCUUCAUUCUGCCAGCAAAUGUUGAUUAAGCAUCCACACUGGAGGCACUGGGCUAGGCGCUGAGGGAGAUGCAAAACCAAAGCCAGAUCUCUGCCCUCAGGAGACUCACAAUGGGAGGGAGGGCACAGAGCUCAGAAGGGCAGAGUGGAGAAGACAGCAGGAGACUCCCACACCGGGGUUAUCUGCUUGGACACAGGGGCAGGAAUGAGUGUGAGGUCCUUGGAGGCCCCUCCUACCCUGGAAAUCGGUGUCUGAGGCCGGAUGUGGCCUUCCUGGGACCUAAGUACCAUUAGUCAAGGGGAUGAAUCCCAGAAGUUUGGGUCCCAUCAGCAGGAAGGGGCAGGCGCAGGCCCUCAGGGAAAAGUACUCUCCAGAGGAGGACUGUGGGGCAGGUAUGAUUUACUUUCGCCUCUUCCUCCUUCUCCUCCU